rnacentral:rRNA from 1 species
CGGAUGGGGCGGCGGCUUACACAUGCAAGUCGAGCGGAAACGAUACCAGCUUGCUGGUAGGCGUCGAGCGGCGGACGGGUGAGUAAUACUUAGGAAUCUACCUAGUAGUGGGGGAUAGCUCGGGGAAACUCGAAUUAAUACCGCAUACGACCUACGGGAGAAAGGGGGCAGUUUACUGCUCUCGCUAUUAGAUGAGCCUAAGUCGGAUUAGCUAGAUGGUGGGGUAAAGGCCUACCAUGGCGACGAUCUGUAGCUGGUCUGAGAGGAUGAUCAGCCACACCGGGACUGAGACACGGCCCGGACUCCUACGGGAGGCAGCAGUGGGGAAUAUUGGACAAUGGGGGAAACCCUGAUCCAGCCAUGCCGCGUGUGUGAAGAAGGCCUUUUGGUUGUAAGGCACUUUAAGCAGUGAAGAAGACUCCUCGGUUAAUACCCGUGGACGUUGACAUUAGCUGCAGAAUAAGCACCGGCUAACUCUGUGCCAGCAGCCGCGGUAAUACAGAGGGUGCAAGCGUUAAUCGGAAUUACUGGGCGUAAAGCGAGCGUAGGAGGCUUGAUAAGUCAGAUGUGAAAUCCCCGGGCUUAACCUGGGAACUGCAUCUGAAACUGUUAGGCUUGAGUAGGUGAGAGGAAGGUAGAAUUCCAGGUGUAGCGGUGAAAUGCGUAGAGAUCUGGAGGAAUACCGAUGGCGAAGGCAGCCUUCUGGCAUCAUACUGACACUGAGGCUCGAAAGCGUGGGUAGCAAACAGGAUUAGAUACCCUGGUAGUCCACGCCGUAAACGAUGUCUACUAGUCGUUGGGUCCCUUGAGGUCUUAGUGACGCAGCUAACGCAAUAAGUAGACCGCCUGGGGAGUACGGCCGCAAGGUUAAAACUCAAAUGAAUUGACGGGGGCCCGCACAAGCGGUGAGCAUGUGUUUAUUCGACGCACGCGAGACUUACUGUCUUGACAUAUCUAGAUCUGCAGAGAUGCAGGAGUGCUUCGGACUAGAAUACAGUGCUGCAUGCUGUCGUCAGCU